rnacentral:misc_RNA from 1 species
ACGAGUUAGGGUCUUCCAGGCCUGACCUCCCAACCCUUUGUUUAUCGAAGCUCUGUUGCUUCGGCGGGCCCGUCUCACGACCGCUGGAGGAUCGCUACAAAGCGUCCUCUAGCCAGUGCCCGCCGACAGCCAACCAUUCUAAAUUCUCAGUGAAUCGUGUCUCCUGUCUAAGUCCAUGAUUAAAUAAAUGCA